AACGAACGCUGGCGGCAGGCCUAACACAUGCAAGUCGAGCGAGGACUUCGGUCCUAGCGGCGGACGGGUGGGUAACGCGUGGGAACGUGCCCUUUGCUUCGGAAUAGCCCUGGGAAACUGGGAGUAAUACCGGAUGAGCCCUUUGGGGGAAAGAUUUAUCGGCGAAGGAUCGGCCCGCGUUGGAUUAGGUAGUUGGUGGGGUAAUGGCCUACCAAGCCGGCGAUCCAUAGCUGGUUUGAGAGGAUGAUCAGCCACACUGGGACUGAGACACGGCCCAGACUCCUACGGGAGGCAGCAGUGGGGAAUCUUAGACAAUGGGGGAAGCCCUGAUCUAGCCAUGCCGCGUGAGCGAUGAAGGCCUUAGGGUUGUAAAGCUCUUUCAGCUGGGAAGAUAAUGACGGUACCAGCAGAAGAAGCCCCGGCUAACUCCGUG
rnacentral:rRNA from 1 species